CCAGGUAGCUCAGUUGGUAGUGCGGGCGCCCAUAUAUAGAGGUUUACUCCUUGGCGCAGCGGGUCCGGGUUCGACUCUGAUCUGCGGCCCUUUGCAGCAUGGCAUGCCCCCCCCUCUCUCUCUCCCCUUUCAUGUCUUCAGCUGUCCUGUCAAUUAAAAGGCCUAAAAUUGAAACAAGUAUUUUAACAG